AUCUUGUAAAUGCGGAUAAUAUAGCCUUGCGAAGUUUGCCGUUUUUCAGUCAUUUUGUAUUACAAACGGGAAAUUGACAUCCGAUUCGGGUGUUGGGGCUGCAAUUUUCCAUUUGUAAUGCAAAAUGACUGAAAAACGGCAAACUUCGCAAGGCUAUAUUAUCCGCAUUUUACGAGAUU